GCCGGGCGCCAUGGCACAUGCCUGUAAUCCCAGUGGCUUGGGAGGCUGAGACAGGAGGAUUGCAAGUUCAAAGCUAGCCUCAACAAAAAGCGAGGCACUAAGCAACUCAGUGAGACCCUGUCUCUA
rnacentral:sRNA from 1 species